UACGUAGGUGGCAAGCGUUGUCCGGAUUUACUGGGCGUAAAGCGUAUGCAGGCGGGUUCUUAAGUAGGAAGUGAAAGGUUGGAGCUCAACUCUAACACUGCUCCCUAUACUGGGGUUCUUGAGUGCCGGAGAGGAAGACGGAACGACACGUGUAGCGGUGAAAUGCGUUGAGAUGUGUCGGAACACCAAUGGCGAAAGCAGUCUUCUGGACGGAUACUGACGCUGAGAUACGAAAGCCAAGGUAGCAAACAGG
rnacentral:rRNA from 1 species